GACGAACGCUGGCGGCGUGCUUAACACAUGCAAGUCGAACGGAAAGGCCCUGCUUUUGUGGGGUGCUCGAGUGGCGAACGGGUGAGUAACACGUGAGUAACCUGCCCUUGACUUUGGGAUAACUUCAGGAAACUGGGGCUAAUACCGGAUAGGAGCUCCUGCUGCAUGGUGGGGGUUGGAAAGUUUCGGCGGUUGGGGAUGGACUCGCGGCUUAUCAGCUUGUUGGUGGGGUAGUGGCUUACCAAGGCUUUGACGGGUAGCCGGCCUGAGAGGGUGACCGGCCACAUUGGGACUGAGAUACGGCCCAGACUCCUACGGGAGGCAGCAGUGGGGAAUAUUGCACAAUGGGCGGAAGCCUGAUGCAGCAACGCCGCGUGCGGGAUGACGGCCUUCGGGUUGUAAACCGCUUUCGCCUGUGACGAAGCGUGAGUGACGGUAAUGGGUAAAGAAGCACCCGCUAACUACGUGCCAGCAGCCGCGGUGAUACGUAAGGUGCGAGCGUUGUCCGGAUUUAUUGGGCGUAAAGGGCUCGUAGGUGGUUGAUCGCGUCGGAAGUGUAAUCUUGGGGCUUAAACCCUGAGCGUGCUUUCGAUACGGGUUGACUUGAGGAAGGUAGGGGAGAAUGGAAUUCCUGGUGGAGCGGUGGAAUGCGCAGAUAUCAGGAGGAACACCAGUGGCGAAGGCGGUUCUCUGGGCCUUUCCUGACGCUGAGGAGCGAAAGCGUGGGGAGCGAACAGGCUUAGAUACCCUGGUAGUCCACGCUGUAAACGGUGGGUACUAGGUGUGGGGUCCAUUCCACGGGUUCCGUGCCGUAGCUAACGCUUUAAGUACCCCGCCUGGGGAGUACGGCCGCAAGGCUAAAACUCAAAGGAAUUGACGGGGCCCCGCACAAGCGGCGGAGCAUGCGGAUUAAUUCGAUGCAACGCGUAGAACCUUACCUGGGUUUGACAUGGAUCGGGAGUGCUCAGAGAUGGGUGUGCCUCUUUUGGGGUCGGUUCACAGGUGGUGCAUGGCUGUCGUCAGCUCGUGUCGUGAGAUGUUGGGUUAAGUCCCGCAACGAGCGCAACCCUUGUUCACUGUUGCCAGCACGUUAUGGUGGGGACUCAGUGGAGACCGCCGGGGUCAACUCGGAGGAAGGUGGGGAUGACGUCAAGUCAUCAUGCCCCUUAUGUCCAGGGCUUCACGCAUGCUACAAUGGCUGGUACAGAGAGUGGCGAGCCUGUGAGGGUGAGCGAAUCUCGGAAAGCCGGUCUCAGUUCGGAUUGGGGUCUGCAACUCGACCUCAUGAAGUCGGAGUCGCUAGUAAUCGCAGAUCAGCAACGCUGCGGUGAAUACGUUCCCGGG
rnacentral:rRNA from 1 species